rnacentral:piRNA from 1 species
UAAGAUGCCAUUAUCUAAAAAUAAAAUAAA